GUGCGACAAAUCUGGCGCUGUCCCCUUCAGCACCACGCGGAGUCCGCGCCGCCCCUCCCCGCGCUCAGCUGGGCCCAGCCUCUCCUCUGUCUCUCCUCGGUCCCAGCUCUGGGCGAGCAGCGGCCUGUCUGAAGAGCAUGCAGCCCCCUUACUCCCCGCCUGGCCUCGCCAUCCCUGCCCCCCCAGCCUGACCCCCGGCCCCAGCAUGGCCCAGGGUGCCAUGCGCUUCUGCUCGGAAGGCGACUGUGCCAUCUCCCCACCACGAUGCCCACGCCGCUGGCUCCCCGAAGGCCCGGUGCCCCAGAGCCCCCCAGCCAGCAUGUAUGGCAGCACAGGCUCCUUGCUACGGCGAGUGGCAGGUCCAGGUCCUCGAGGCCGGGAACUGGGACGUGUGACAGCACCCUGUACACCUCUGCGUGGCCCCCCCUCACCCCGUGUUGCUCCCUCACCCUGGGCACCCUCUUCACCCACUGGGCAGCCCCCACCCGGGGCCCAGAGCUCCGUGGUCAUCUUCCGCUUUGUGGAGAAGGCCAGUGUGAGGCCACUGAAUGGGCUACCUGCUCCAGGAGGCUUGAGUCGGAGCUGGGAUC
rnacentral:sRNA from 1 species